rnacentral:rRNA from 1 species
CCUACGGGAGGCAGCAGUGGGGAAUAUUGCACAAUGGGGGAAACCCUGAUGCAGCGACGCCGCGUGAGUGAAGAAGUAACUCGUUAUGUAAAGCUCUAUCUGCAGGGAAGAAAAUGACGUUACCUGAGUAAGAAGCCCCGGCUAACUACGUGCCAGCAGCCGCGGUAAUACGUAGGGGGCAAGCGUUAUCCGGAUUUACUGGGUGUUAAGGGAGCGUAGACGGCAGUGCAAGUCUGGAGUGAAAGGCGGGGGCUCAACCCCCGGACUGCUCUGGAAACUGUACGGCUGGAGUGCAGGAGAGGUAAGUGGAAUUCCUAGUGUAGCGGUGAAAUGCGUAGAUAUUAGGAGGAACACCAGUGGCGAAGGCGGCAUACUGGACUGUAACUGACGUUGAGGCUCGAAGGCGUGGGGAGCAAACAGGAUUAGAUACCCCAGUAGUC